AUUGGCCGCAAAGAAUAGGAAAUGGACAUGUUUUGGACACACCUAUAGCUCAACGUGAAGCAGCUUUGAUAUGGACCGCGGUGUAUUAAGUUUGUCUUUACACUGGUUCACGUGGUCUGGACCGCGUGGGUAGCCAAUGCAAAGAAUUGUACGAGAGCCGCAAUAUGAAGUAGCGCCAUACGGUUUCCUCGACGCAGCUACAGUAUAUCCAAGCCUCGUUUUGAGCCAGCGGUCUUCAAAUGGAAGAGCAAUGGCCGUGCCCUCGGGGGGUGAGGUUUGAGAAGUGGCCGCUUUCCAACGUUGGCUCAUUACGCAUCUCCAUAUCCUUCGUCCUUUACAGCACAUAUGGUUCAGCGACCCCAAUGCAGCUAUCAAGUGCUGCUCAUUAAUGUUUCUGCUGCACGUCGAUAAAAACUAGUCAUCUGGAAGGAAGUUGCAGGGUUACAGCAACACACAAACAGAAUCUAACCUUUGCCCAGAAGGUGACCAAGAUUAAGCUGUGACUCUGAAAUGAGAACAUCUUGAAGUUUUUUCUUCAACUCUUCGCUGAUGCCAAGACUGUCCACUACGGGAAAAUAGAGAAACAAU